GCGGUCGGCCGGCGGAACCGGCUCCGUCUUCAUCGGCCGGCGGAAUCGACGGCGUCUUCGUCGGCUGGCCGAAUCAGCGGAAACGCAUGUUGUAGGCGGGUGGUUUCUGGCCUUUUAGCAUCAUGCAGCGCUUCCUCAGCAAAGGCUGCCGGCGCCAAGUUUAUGCAACCGUGAAACCAUCCACGCAGCAGCUUUCGCCGGCCGUCUUCUACUGUAAGGAACAUUACCUCUUUGCCGUCAGUUCCAGAAUUAUUUUUGCAAACCCGUAUGCAGCUUUGAUGUGAAAAGGUUGAGGACUUGAGAUGCUGCACGCACAUGGAAACAGGUGCCUUUGUUGACCUUUAGAGGUUACUUUUUUUUAUUGCUCUGAGAUGUUGGUUUUAUGGUUUAAUAUCAACAGUGGCUUGUAGUUUACAGGUUUGCAAACUCGAUCUUUCUAUUGUCCUGUUAACUAGAUGGUAAUUUUAAGGAAACAAAUUCAGAGUAAUAACCAUCAGAACAUGAAAAAAUUUCAGUAAUCACAUUGCACAGGUGUUAAGAAGUUCGAAAGUAAUUGUAUUGGAGUCAGAUAAAUAAUAUUUGUUGUAGUGUUUGUUAAACUAGGUUUGAGUUCACAUGAAUCUGCCAACCGUUUGAAUAAAGCUUUUGCCGAUUUCUUUAGAUUUAAAAAUUGAGGUGAAGUGGCCUUGCAUUGAUUAAUUGACCAAAGGAUCUAAUGUCCUGGUGAAGAUUACAACUAUGCUAUAACUUGCUUGUGUCACGAAAAAAAGGGGCAAACAAAUAGUAUGUCAGAAAAAAAGUCUAAUUCCCUGUCAGCACCACUGGAGUCAACCUACAUGGUUUCUCAGAAACUUGAACUGUGACAGCACCGAAACCAACAUGACAUUGUAGAUAUCCCUGAUCAAGUGCAGGGAUGUAGGUAGACUUUUUAACAACUGAAAUACGGCUUUAGUAAAUAAAGUUAUGGAUUCUAAGUUAUUCUGCGGCAUCCGCACUGCCACUUAGUUAUCGUUGUUGAUGUAUGAUGUUUUUUGCUUAAUUAUACUGCUUAGCCUGUUGGGUGUUCAGAUUUUGUAGAAAAUGAAAAAUAAAGUAGAUGUAAAAUGCACCUGUUUUAUUAAGUAUAAAUCAACCGGUAUACAUGCUUUUUCAGUGGUAUAGAUUAGGAAUUAGGAUAUCACUGUGAAUCACUAAACAACUGAAUGGCUGAAUGAAUGUGGGCACGAGUGUGUACUGUAUACAUGGAUACUAUAGAUUCAGGUACCGGUGGGCUAGCAAAAUAGGCACUCUGCCAUAUCAGAUAUCUUCAUUACUAUGUUUAAAAAGCUAGUUUGCUAUCCAAAUUUGUAGACAUGGAGCAUAGUCGAUCUUAGUAUUAGUGAAAGUUCGUGCUACUUAGUACUUAGUUAUAGCCUGUAAGAUACAUUCAUUCAUCUAUUAGAAUAGCUAGGUUUUCAGAAGUUCAAUGAUACGAACCUAGCAUAAAAUGUUCUGUUGAUGGUUGUUCCCACAAAGAUUUGGCAGCUAAUUAAUUAUAACCAGAGUAAAAGCAUACUCAGUUUCAGGAUAAAUUAGCUGAUUUAGAAUCUGUUUUACUACAACCCAAGUCGCUCUUUUCUACAUGAUGCUACUUAACAGUGUCUCACAGCAUCGAAGUUUCAAACCAGUUUUAUAUAAACGAAUACUUAAAUCAUCCCAAGGUGAGAGGCUGCUUUUGGAUAUGUAAUUUCCAUUUUUUAUGAUGUAGCUGCGUCGAUUUGCUUCCUCUGAUUUCGGUGGUAAGCAACCUGUGAUUGGCGCUGGCUGCUUCUACAUUUCCCACCAGUACUCUUCAGUACCACCCCAUUUCUACCAAUUUGGAUGAGCCUGGCGUGCAAGGAAGGUCAAUAACAGUUUUGUAAUCUCCUGGUGGCUGCCGGCCUUGCAUUGGUUGACUGAACAAAGGAGCACUAGGCCAGUAGCUAUAAGCGGGUCAUAGUUCUGAAACUAUGGCGGCGUGUGGCUAGCUUUAGCGACAGGUAGCAAUCUGUGGCUUCGAUGGGCGGCCAGGUCAAAAGGUCAAAGUACGCCAUUUGGUAAUUUUUUGUGUGUGUUGACAUACAUGUAUCUGUUAGUCUGUUCCUUAAUUUUCUAAUUGCGUGCUGUCGAAUUACGAGAUCUGUGGGGUCUGUACUGACGAAUUACGCAGCACACAACCACUGCCAAUGGCAAGACAACUGAAGAAGUUUUCCAUGGCCAGAUCGACGUCAAAGUGACACCAUACAAUCACAUACAUCAAAGAUCAAGUGCUCACCAUUAAACGGGAAUGGCAUAUAGCUUCUGCUCUCAACUAAGCAAGCCUGGCAAUUAUGGCAAAUGGAAAGGAACUAGCAUUUCACUCAACAGAUGAUUCUGCCAUUUGGACAAUGUAAUUUGUUACAUAGAUUGUUUCCACUAUUUAUUGUAGGGCAAAUGAGUCCACGCUUGUAGUUCUUAUGGAUGCGAUUGAGCAUCAGUGUUACAAUGCCCUCCAGUCAUCAUGACACUUUCUUUAUGCCAGGAUUCCUAUACUGUGUUGGCACCUGGAAUUCUUAGGUCACAUUUUAUCCAAUUUUAAUGGGAAGAAAUGUAUUUAAUUAUUUA